UGCGUAGGCGGAAUAUUAAGUCAGUGGUGAAAUCCUGCGGCUCAACCGUAGAACUGCCAUUGAUACUGAUAUUCUUGAAUGUAGUUGAGGUAGGCGGAAUGUGUAAUGUAGCGGUGAAAUGCUUAGAUAUUACACAGAACACCGAUUGCGAAGGCAGCUUACUAAACUAUGAUUGACGCUGAGGUACGAAAGCGUAGGGAGCGAACAGGAUUAGAUACCCUGGUAGUCC
rnacentral:rRNA from 1 species